ACUCCGGUGGCCUAGUGGUUAGAGCGUCCGCCUCGGAUGCGGGAAGUCAUGGGUUCGGUUACCGGUCGAAUCA